rnacentral:rRNA from 1 species
UACGUAGGGUGCAAGCGUUGUCCGGAAUUAUUGGGCGUAAAGAGCUCGUAGGCGGUCUGUCGCGUCUGCUGUGAAAACUCAGGGCUUAACCCUGAGCUUGCAGUGGGUACGGGCAGACUAGAGUGCGGUAGGGGAGACUGGAAUUCCUGGUGUAGCGGUGAAAUGCGCAGAUAUUGGGAAGAACACCAGUGGCGAAGGCGGUUCUCUGGGACGGUACUGACGCUGAGACGCGAAAGCGUGGGGGGCGAACAGG